UACGGAGGGUGCGAACGUUAAUCGGAAUCACUGGGCGUAAAGCGCGCGUAGGCGGUUUGUUAAGUGGGAUGUGAAAUCCCCGGGCUUAACCUGGGAAUUGCAUUUCAAACUGGCCGACUAGAGUACGGUAGAGGGAGGUAGAAUUUCCUGUGUAGCGGUGAAAUGCGUAGAUAUCAGGAAGAACACCCGUGGCGAAGGCGGCUCUCUGGAACGCAACUGACGCUGAGACGCGAAAGCGUGGGGAGCAAACAGG
rnacentral:rRNA from 1 species